rnacentral:rRNA from 1 species
AUUGAACGCUGGCGGCAGGCCUAACACAUGCAAGUCGAACGAGUGGCGGACGGGUGAGUAAUGUCUGGGAAAAUGCCCGAUGGAGGGGGAUAACUACUGGAAACGGUAGCUAAUACCGCAUACCAUCGGAUGUGCCCAGAUGGGAUUAGGUUGUAGGUGAGGUAACGGCGCACCUAGGCGACGAUCCCUAGCUGGUCGGAGAGGAUGACCAGCCAGACUGGAAGUGAGACACGGUCAAGACUCCUUCGGGAGGCAGCAGUGGGGAAUAUGGCACCAUGGGUGCAAGCCUGAUGCAUCCAUGCCUCGUGUAUGAAGAAGGCCUUCGGGUUUUAAAGUACUUUCGUCGGGGAGGCGUUACCCGCAGAUGAAUCACCGGCUAACUCCGGGCCAGCAGCCGCGGUAAUAC